rnacentral:sRNA from 1 species
GACGCAGCCAUGGCGGAGGCGGCUUUGGAAGCCGCGCGGAGCGAGUGACGAGAAUUCCCGGCCGCUUCAAGGGAGCUCUGCGUGCCUCUUGCUGUGCCCUACCUGGACAAACCUCCAACUCCGCUCCACUUCUACCGGGACUGGGUCUGCCCCAACAGGCCGUGCAUCAUCCGCAACGCUCUGCAGCACUGGCCGGCCCUCCAGAAGUGGUCCCUCCCCUACUUCAGGUGGGAGCUGCCCUGGGGUCUGGUGUGAGCAGUGAUUACUGGCAUCUGGGCAUGGGCUGAGUGUCCAUUCCUCUAGAGCCACAGUGGGCUCCACAGAGGUGAGUGUGGCCGUGACCCCGGAUGGUUACGCGGAUGCCGUGAGAGGGGAUCACUUCAUGAUGCCAGCUGAGCGCCGCCUGCCCCUGAGCUUCGUGCUGGAUGUGCGGGAGGGCCGGGCCCAGCACCCUGGAGUCCUCUAUGUGCAGAAGCAGUGCUCCAACCUGCCCACUGAGCUGCCCCAGCUGCUGCCUGAUCUGGAAUCCCAUGUGCCCUGGGCCUCCGAAGCCCUGGGAAAGAUGCCCGAUGCUGUGAACUUCUGGCUGGGGGAGGCGGCUGCGGUGACUCUUUGCAAAAGGACCACUAUGAGAACCUCUACUGCGUGGUCUCAGGAGAGAAGCAUUUCCUGUUCCAUCCGCCCAGCGACCGGCCCUUCAUCCCCUAUGAGCUGUACACGCCGGCAACCUACCAGCUAACUGAAGAGGGCACCUUUAAGGUGGCGGAUGAAGAGGCCAUGGAGAAG